rnacentral:rRNA from 1 species
UACGUAGGGGGCAAGCGUUGUCCGGAAUCAUUGGGCGUAAAGAGCGUGUAGGCGGCCAGAUAAGUCCGCUGUGAAAUCUCGAGGCUCAACUUCGAGCUGUCGGUGGAAACUGUCUGGCUAGAGUCCGGAAGAGGAGAAUGGAAUUCCUGGUGUAGCGGUGAAAUGCGCAGAUAUCGGGAGGAACACCGGUAGCGAAGGCAGCACUCUGGGACGUGACUGACGCUGAGACGCGAAAGCGUGGGGAGCAAACAGGG